rnacentral:rRNA from 1 species
GACGAACGCUGGCGGCGUGCCUAACACAUGCAAGUCGAACGGAGUUAAGACUUCGGUUUUAACUUAGUGGCGAACGGGUGAGUAACGCGUGAGAAACCUGCCUUUCAGUGGGGGACAACAGUUGGAAACGACUGCUAAUACCGCAUAAUGUAUUUUGACCGCAUGAUUGAAAUACCAAAGCUUUAUGUGCUGAAAGAUGGUCUCGCGUCUGAUUAGCUAGUUGGUGAGGUAACGGCUCACCAAGGCGACGAUCAGUAGCCGGUCUGAGAGGAUGAACGGCCACAUUGGGACUGAGAUACGGCCCAGACUCCUACGGGAGGCAGCAGUGGGGAAUAUUGGGCAAUGGGGGAAACCCUGACCCAGCAACGCCGCGUGAAGG